rnacentral:rRNA from 1 species
GAUCCUGACUCAGGAUGAACGCUAGCUACAGGCUUAACACAUGCAAGUCGAGGGGCAGCAUGGUCUUAGCUUGCUAAGGCCGAUGGCGACCGGCGCACGGGUGAGUAACACGUAUCCAACCUGCCGUCUACUCUUGGACAGCCUUCUGAAAGGAAGAUUAAUACAAGAUGGCAUCAUGAGUCCGCAUGUUCACAUGAUUAAAGGUAUUCCGGUAGACGAUGGGGGUNCG